rnacentral:rRNA from 1 species
GAUGAACGCUGGCGGCGUGCCUAAUACAUGCAAGUCGAGCGAACAGACGAGGAGCUUGCUUCUCUGACGUUAGCGGCGGACGGGUGAGCAACACGUGGAUAACCUACCUAUAAGACUGGGAUAACUUCGGGAAACCGGAGCUAAUACCGGAUAAUAUAUUGAACCGCAUGGUUCAAUAGUGAAAGACGGUUUUGCUGUCACUUAUAGAUGGAUCCGCGCCGCAUUAGCUAGUUGGUAGGGUAACGGCUUACCAAGGCAACGAUGCGUAGCCGACCUGAGAGGGUGAUCGGCCACACUGGAACUGAGACACGGUCCAGACUCCUACGGGAGGCAGCAGUAGGGAAUCUUCCGCAAUGGGCGAAAGCCUGACGGAGCAACGCCGCGUGAGUGAUGAAGGUCUUCGGAUCGUAAAACUCUGUUAUUAGGGAAGAACAAAUGUGUAAGUAACUAUGCACGUCUUGACGGUACCUAAUCAGAAAGCCACGGCUAACUACGUG